CAUUCAAACGACGUCUUUGAUACAACGGAAUUUAACGAUAUUGCUAUUUUAUAAAAUAAUGAGAGAAGGCCUGAAAAACAUAAGUACUCAUUUGUGUUUAAAAGAUUAAAUUAGAAAAAGGAAAGAAAUGAUUGAUUUCGCAUAUUUCAAAUUGUAAAUUUUCGAUGGGGGAGGUGGGUGUGGUUCUGGAGCUUUUUUUCUAUAACAAAGAAAAUUAAUCCAUAAUGCCAAAUUACAUUCUUGAAUUAUUAAGCAAGUCAAAAAUUAAUUGUGAUGGGGUGUCUUUGAGUCUCUACUUGUACUUGUUAUAUCAGUAAUACUGGAAAUUUGUAUAUCUUCGGAUUCCCCUUCGGUUGAACUAGUAAUUAAUUUAAAGUUUUUUAAGCGAAAAUACAAUGUUGAGUUGAAUUGGUUGGAAAAAAGAUAGGAAAUUGGAGUUUACUUUAAAACUGCAGCUUAAAUAUGUUUUUUUUUUUUAUUGUUUAUAAGAAGCAUUUUAUUAUUGAACUUCUAUAUCCGUCAAGAUUGACGAACACUAUGAAACUGUAGCAAAGCCAUUUAGCUAAGGAAAAAAAUGAUACAUUGCUUCUUUCCU